rnacentral:rRNA from 1 species
ACCGUCGACAGUCAGGCAACGAGCGAGACCCACGCCAACAGUUGCCAGCUCGUCCUCCGGGAUGGUGGGGACACUGUUGGGACCGCCUCUGCUAAAGAGGAGGAAGGAAUGGGCAACGGUAGGUCAGCAUGCCCCGAAUUAUCUGGGCUACACGCGGGCUACAAUGGGUGGGACAAUGGGUAUUGACACCGAAAGGUGAAGGCAAUCUCCUAAACCCAUCCUUAGUUCGGAUUGUGGGUUGCAACUCACCCACAUGAAGCUGGAAUCCGUAGUAAUCGUGUCUCAAAAUGGCACGGUGAAUAUGUCCCUGCUCCUUGCACGAAUUCGCCG